CGUGCCCCGACCGUCAAAAUCGUCAAAGCCAAAGCUGUGCCUCACUCGUGGGCUUUCGCAAUAAGAUUUCGAAGGGUCUGGGCGUAUACAGACAAGAAGCAAGCAGCAAACGAGAGACUGGAAUGGAAGCCGCAAACAAGAAAGUUGCUGCAGCCCAUAUAGGGCUCCAGUGAUGAACAUGGCUGCCCAGGAAAACAUAUCUUUGUGUUGAAGCCAGUCUGUGCAUAUUUUAAUGAAGACUAUGAGGUCUGCACCUCGUUCCACACUCACAAAGCUGGCCAGACAGCUGUGGAGUGAGGGCCCCCAACACCAUGCCUCUGCUAUUGGGUCAUCACUACUACACUUCUCAGGCAUUGUUCUUCCCUUGGACAAUGACAAAACGCUAACUGCAAGGAGCGUGGAGAAAGGAUUGGCGCUUCAGCUCGUAGUGUAUUUCAACUACGAUGUGCAGUGCCUGCCACCAACGUUUCUUAUGUUACAAUCCAUGCAAUGCUAUUUGGGACACAUCAGCACUGAAAGAGGAACAAAGCACCCCAAUGGUAAUCAAGCUUAAGUAGCAUACCUGUUUGCGUUCUGUCACUCAUCUGCGAACUGGGGUAAAGUUGAAAGGAGCCAUUCCAAGCUGCUGUGCUGGAGAAAGCUACUGCACUGUACAUUUCAGUGAAUAUAUUGCUUUAUGAACACAUAACAUGUGGUGUGGGUGUCUGAUAAUGAUACAGGCCAAACACUAUUUCAUGAAAUGAUAGACAGUAAUUUUUACAGGCUGGUGCAUGUUUCUAUAAUACAGUAUCCAAUCAUAAUAAUGAUUAGCCAUUAAACAACAAGAACACAUCUUUUAGCUCGGGUUAACACGUAAUGUAGGAAUACAGCGGCAUGUGAAUUUCACGAU